AGACGGCAGUGGCAGUAUCGUAGCCAAUGAGGUUUAUCCGAGGCGCGAUUAUUGCUAAUUGAAAACUCAAUCACAUACAGGAAUUUACUGUUGUAUUCUCCCAAUUUAUCUAUAAAUGAAAAAUAAUUCCAGUAAAACUCACAAUAGA